AUUGAACGCUGGCGGCAGGCCUAACACAUGCAAGUCGAGCGCGCGGCGGACGGGUGAGUGCUGUCUGGGGAACUGCCUGAUGGGGGGGGGUAACUACUGGAAACGGUAGCUAAUACCGCAUACCAUCAGAUGUGCCCCGAUGGGAUUAGCUAGUAGGUGGGGUAACGGCUCACCUAGGCGACGAUCCCUAGCUGGUCUGAGAGGAUGACCAGCCACACUGGAACUGAGACACGGUCCAGACUCCGACGGGAGGCAGCAGUGGGGAAUAUUGGACAAUGGGCGAAAGCCUGAUCCAGCCAUGCCGCGUGUGUGAAGAAGGCCUUCGGAUUGUAAAGCACUUUCAGUUGGGAGGCGUUACCAACAGAAUAAGCACCGGCUAACUCCGUGCCAGCCGCCGCGGUAAUUC
rnacentral:rRNA from 1 species